rnacentral:rRNA from 1 species
AACGAACGCUGGCGGCAGGCUUAACACAUGCAAGUCGAACGCAUCCUUCGGGGUGAGUGGCAGACGGGUGAGUAACGCGUGGGAACGUGCCCUUCAGUUCGGGAUAACCCAGGGAAACUUGGGCUAAUACCGGAUACGUGCGAGAGCAGAAAGAUUUAUCGCUGAAGGAUCGACCCGCGACUGAUUAGCUAGUUGGUGGGGUAAUGGCCCACCAAGGCGACGAUCAGUAGCUGGUCUGAGAGGAUGAUCAGCCACAUUGGGACGGAGACACGGCCCAAACUCCUACGGGAGGCAGCAGUGGGGAAUAUUGGACAAUGGGCGCAAGCCUGAUCCAGCCAUGCCGCGUGAGUGAUGAAGGCCUUAGGGUUGUAAAGCUCUUUCGUCCGGGACGAUAAUGACGGUACCGGAAGAAGAAGCCCCGGCUAACUUCGUGCCAGCCGCCGCCGUAA